GGGGGCGAAAUGGUUUCGACGGGGGCAACAAAAACGGAUCAAGCGAGCCGCAGGCCCGGGCUGCGUAAUAACCGGAAACUUAAACAAUAACCGAGAACAAUAAUUUUGUUCCCGUCGCUGCUUAAGCAGUGACCGUCUUCACACCGGAGGCCCACGGCCGGUAUGCGGGCGUCAUCAUCGUGGGGAACCAGCCGGCCUAAGCUUUGCGGCCGGUGGGAUUUAUGAAGCUACCAAAGCCUUGACCCUGCCUGCGGGGGCUUGGCAAAGGGAAUUUUAAAACACGGGCUACGCUCGUAGAAAGUUCUGUGGAUGGGCUUUCGGACGGGGGUUCGACUCCCCCCGCCUCCACCA
rnacentral:sRNA from 1 species